AAACUGGAGAGUUUGAUUCUGGCUCAGAACGAACGCUGGCGGCGUGGAUUAGGCAUGCAAGUCGAACGAUCUCUUUCCUUCGGGAGGGGGAUAGUGGCAAACGGGUGAGUAAUACGUGGGUAAUCUGCCUUUAGGACCGGGAUAACGAACCGAAAGGUUCGCUAAUACCGGGUAAGACCACAGCCCCUACGGGGGCAGCGGUUAUAGAUGGGGAUCCUGAAAAUGGACCUAUCACCUUUAGAUGAGCCCACGUCCUAUCAGCUAGUUGGAGGGGUAACGGCCCACCAAGGCUAUGACGGGUAGCUGGUCUGAGAGGAUGGUCAGCCACACUGGGACUGAGACACGGCCCAGACUCCUACGGGAGGCAGCAGUCGAGGAUCUUUUGCAAUGCCCGCAAGGGUGACAAUGCGACGCCGCGUGAGCGAUGAAGGUCUUCGGAUCGUAAAGCUCUGUCAGCUGGGAUGAAUACAUGAGGGUUAAUACCCCUUAUGUUCGACGGUACCGGCAAAGGAAGCCACGGCUAACUCCGUGCCAGCAGCCGCGGUAAUACGGAGGUGGCAAGCGUUGUUCGGAUUUACUGGGUGUAAAGGACAUGUAGGUGUCUUUUUAAGUCGGAUGUGAAAUCCCUUGGCUCAACCAAGGAACUGCAUCUGAUACUGAGAAGAUUGAGUACGUGAGAGGUAAGCGGAAUUCCAGAAGUAAGGGUGAAAUCUGUAGAUAUCUGGAGGAACACCAUUAGCGAAGGCGGCUUACUGGCACGAUACUGACGCUGAAAUGUGAAAGCUAGGGGAGCAAACAGGAUUAGAUACCCUGGUAGUCCUAGCUGUAAACGAUGUACACUAGGUGCAGGUCCGCGAGGGUCUGUGUCGUAGCUAACGCGUUAAGUGUACCACCUGGGGACUACGGUCGCAAGGCUAAAACUCAAAGAAAUUGACGGGGACCCGCACAAGCGGUGGAGCAUGUGGUUUAAUUCGAUGCUACGCGAGGAACCUUACCUAGGCUUGACAUACUAGAAGUAGGAACCUGAAAGGGGGACGACCUGUAUCCAAUCAGGAACUAGAACAGGUGCUGCAUGGCUGUCGUCAGCUCGUGUCGUGAGAUGUUGGGUUAAGUCCCGCAACGAGCGCAACCCUUGUCAUUAGUUGCUACGCAAGAGCACUCUAAUGAGACUGCCGGUGACAAACCGGAGGAAGGUGGGGAUGACGUCAAGUCCUCAUGGCCCUUAUAGGUGGGGCUACACACGUCAUACAAUGGCCGGUACAAAGGGCAGCAAACCCGCGAGGGGGAGCCAAUCCAUCAAAGCCGGUCGUAGUCCGGAUCGCAGUCUGCAACUCGACUGCGUGAAGUCGGAAUCGCUAGUAAUCGUGGAUCAGCAUGUCACGGUGAAUACGUUCCCGGGUCUUGUACACACCGCCC
rnacentral:rRNA from 1 species